rnacentral:rRNA from 1 species
GAUUCGUCACACUAUCAUUAACUGAAUCCAUAGGUUAAUGAGGCGAACCGGGGGAACUGAAACAUCUAAGUACCCCGAGGAAAAGAAAUCAACCGAGAUUCCCCCAGUAGCGGCGAGCGAACGGGGAGGAGCCCAGAGCCUGAAUCAGCAUGUGUGUUAGUGGAAGCGUCUGGAAAGGCGCGCGAUACAGGGUGACAGCCCCGUACACAAAAGCGCAUGUGCUGUGAGCUCGAUGAGUAGGGCGGGACACGUGGUAUCCUGUCUGAAUAUGGGGGGACCAUCCUCCAAGGCUAAAUACUCCUGACUGACCGAUAGUGAACCAGUACCGUGAGGGAAAGGCGAAAAGAACCCCGGCGAGGGGAGUGAAAAAGAACCUGAAACCGUGUACGUACAAGCAGUGGGAGCACCCUUCGGGGUGUGACUGCGUACCUUUUGUAUAAUGGGUCAGCGACUUAUAUUCUGUAGCAAGGUUAACCGUAUAGGGGAGCCGGAGGGAAACCGAGUCUUAACCGGGCGUUAAGUUGCAGGGUAUAGACCCGAAACCCGGUGAUCUAGCCAUGGGCAGGUUGAAGGUUGGGUAACACUAACUGGAGGACCGAACCGACUAAUGUUGAAAAAUUAGCGGAUGACCUGUGGCUGGGGGUGAAAGGCCAAUCAAACCGGGAGAUAGCUGGUUCUCCCCGAAAGCUAUUUAGGUAGCGCCUCGUGAAUUCAUCUCCGGGGGUAGAGCACUGUUUCGGCUAGGGGGCCAUCCCGGCUUACCAACCCGAUGCAAACUGCGAAUACCGGAGAAUGUUAUCACGGGAGACACACGGCGGGUGCUAACGUCCGUCGUGAAGAGGGAAACAACCCAGACCGCCAGCUAAGGUCCCAAAGUCAUGGUUAAGUGGGAAACGAUGUGGGAAGGCCCAGACAGCCAGGAUGUUGGCUUAGAAGCAGCCAUCAUUUAAAGAAAGCGUAAUAGCUCACUGGUCGAGUCGGCCUGCGCGGAAGAUGUAACGGGGCUAAACCAUGCACCGAAGCUGCGGCAGCGAACGUAUCACCCAAGACAACUUUACGGAGUUGACGAUUGACGGAGCGAAGCGACGUCAAAGCGUUCAUUAAAGUCGAGUUGGCUUAGGGAUACGUUCGUUGGGUAGGGGAGCGUUCUGUAAGCCUGUGAAGGUGUGUCGUGAGGCAUGCUGGAGGUAUCAGAAGUGCGAAUGCUGACAUAAGUAACGAUAAAGCGGGUGAAAAGCCCGCUCGCCGGAAGACCAAGGGUUCCUGUCCAACGUUAAUCGGGGCAGGGUGAGUCGACCCCUAAGGCGAGGCCGAAAGGCGUAGUCGAUGGGAAACGGGUUAAUAUUCCCGUACUUGGUGUUACUGCGAAGGGGGGACGGAGAAGGCUAUGUUGGCCGGGCGACGGUUGUCCCGGUUUAAGCGUGUAGGUGUGUGUUCCAGGUAAAUCCGGUUCACUUUAACACUGAGGCGUGACGACGAGGCACUACGGUGCUGAAGCAACAAAUGCCCUGCUUCCAGGAAAAGCCUCUAAGCAUCAGGUAACAUCAAAUCGUACCCCAAACCGACACAGGUGGUCAGGUAGAGAAUACCAAGGCGCUUGAGAGAACUCGGGUGAAGGAACUAGGCAAAAUGGUGCCGUAACUUCGGGAGAAGGCACGCUGACACGUAGGUGAAGUGAUUUACUCAUGGAGCUGAAGUCAGUCGAAGAUACCAGCUGGCUGCAACUGUUUAUUAAAAACACAGCACUGUGCAAACACGAAAGUGGACGUAUACGGUGUGACGCCUGCCCGGUGCCGGAAGGUUAAUUGAUGGGGUCAGCGCAAGCGAAGCUCCUGAUCGAAGCCCCGGUAAACGGCGGCCGUAACUAUAACGGUCCUAAGGUAGCGAAAUUCCUUGUCGGGUAAGUUCCGACCUGCACGAAUGGCGUAAUGAUGGCCAGGCUGUCUCCACCCGAGACUCAGUGAAAUUGAACUCGCUGUGAAGAUGCAGUGUACCCGCGGCAAGACGGAAAGACCCCGUGAACCUUUACUAUAGCUUGACACUGAACAUUGAGCCUUGAUGUGUAGGAUAGGUGGGAGGCUUUGAAGUGUGGACGCCAGUCUGCAUGGAGCCGACCUUGAAAUACCACCCUUUAAUGUUUGAUGUUCUAACGUGGACCCGUAAUCCGGGUUGCGGACAGUGUCUGGUGGGUAGUUUGACUGGGGCGGUCUCCUCCUAAAGAGUAACGGAGGAGCACGAAGGUUGGCUAAUCCUGGUCGGACAUCAGGAGGUUAGUGCAAUGGCAUAAGCCAGCUUGACUGCGAGCGUGACGGCGCGAGCAGGUGCGAAAGCAGGUCAUAGUGAUCCGGUGGUUCUGAAUGGAAGGGCCAUCGCUCAACGGAUAAAAGGUACUCCGGGGAUAACAGGCUGAUACCGCCCAAGAGUUCAUAUCGACGGCGGUGUUUGGCACCUCGAUGUCGGCUCAUCACAUCCUGGGGCUGAAGUAGGUCCCAAGGGUAUGGCUGUUCGCCAUUUAAAGUGGUACGCGAGCUGGGUUUAGAACGUCGUGAGACAGUUCGGUCCCUAUCUGCCGUGGGCGCUGGAGAACUGAGGGGGGCUGCUCCUAGUACGAGAGGACCGGAGUGGACGCAUCACUGGUGUUCGGGUUGUCAUGCCAAUGGCACUGCCCGGUAGCUAAAUGCGGAAGAGAUAAGUGCUGAAAGCAUCUAAGCACGAAACUUGCCCCGAGAUGAGUUCUCCCUGAGACUUAGAGUCUCCUGAAGGAACGUUGAAGA